rnacentral:lncRNA from 1 species
UCACAGGUUCCAAGUGCCAAUUCAAACUCUGUGCCCAUUGCUAGGCUUCAGCAAGUUCUACAGACCUCUGCUUUUAACUGCCCAUAACAUGCAGUUCCUAUGGUCCUUGCCUGCUGGCCACUGGUAUGGAUGGAAUGGGCUUCCUAUUACCAGGAGGGGUUACAGAGUGGCAAAUAGCACAAUGUGAUAACUGCAGCCUCCUGCUCAUCCAGGAAAAGAAUAUGGUCCACCUGGUUAUAAAUUUUGCACUCAUUUCCUUCAUAUUUAC